rnacentral:rRNA from 1 species
CCUACGGGAGGCAGCAGUGGGGAAUAUUGGACAAUGGGGGCAACCCUGAUCCAGCAAUGCCGCGUGAGUGAUGAAGGCCUUCGGGUUGUAAAGCUCUUUUACCUACGACGAUAAUGACGGUAGUAGGAGAAUAAGCCCCGGCUAACUUCGUGCCAGCAGCCGCGGUAAUACGAAGGGGGCUAGCGUUGUUCGGAAUUACUGGGCGUAAAGGGCGCGUAGGCGGUCUUUUAAGUCUGAUGUGAAAGACCUGGGCUUAACCUGGGAACUGCAUUGGAUACUGAAAGACUCGAGGGUGUGAGAGGAAAGUGGAAUGACGAGUGUAGAGGUGAAAUUCGUAGAUAUUCGUUGGAACACCAGAGGCGAAGGCGGCUUUCUGGCACACUACUGACGCUAAGGCGCGAAAGCGUGGGGAGCAAACAGGAUUAGAUACCCUUGUAGUCC